AGUCAGGCAGGCAGACAGGCGUGUGUUAAAGGAAUGAAAGGAAGCAGGCAUGUCAACGUGGCGCGCUUGUUGGCAACUAACUGAGUUACACUCCCAAAAGAACCCAAACCUCUAAUCAAGAUAUGUGGUCUUCAUUUCUCUCUUGCUGCUUUGGCGUCUUCCUUUGAUUUUGACAUCUCAACCUUCAACCACCCCACCAUUCUUUUCAUUCCCCUUCCCUACCAAAAGGUGAGAAAAAACCAUGAAAGAAAACAAGAAAAGAAGGGAAUAAUAAGAGACUGACUAUAAUCUAAGCUACAUCUAAAUCAAAGCUGCUUUUCCAGUCUAAAAUUACGAAAACAGCAAUGAGUGCUGCCACGGCUACUACAGCAAUGAGUGCUUCGACCGGUUUAGGCCAUGGUUUUAACAGCAGCCCCAUCUGGCUGAAAUGGCAACCUUCUCCUUGUCAGCGUUCCACCUUCCUUAUCCUACGCGCUGCUUCCUCUCCCAACACUGGCAAAGGCAACAAGAAAAAACCCAAAGCUAAAAAAACUUCUCCUACUCCAACUCCUAUAACUACAACAACAACAACUACUACUUCUACUGAAUCUAUUUCACAAGACCAACCGCAACAACAACAGCAGCAAGUUUCGUUAAGUUUGGAUGACGUCAACCCAGUGGGGUUGGGACGUAAAUCCCGACAAAUAUUUGAUGAGGUUUGGAGGAAGUUCUCUGGGUUGGGGCAGAUUUCAAGGACAACUCGUGUCGAUGAUAGGGAAGCUUUGGAUGCUUUGCUUAUUAGAGAAGGACCCAUGUGUGAGUUUGCCAUUCCUGGUGCUCAAAACACCACUGUCCUUGUUGUUGGUGCCACCAGCCGCAUUGGACGCAUUGUUGUCCGUAAGCUCAUGCUCAGAGGAUAUACUGUCAAGGCUUUGGUGAGGAAGGCAGAUCAAGCGGUGUUGGACAUGCUUCCUAGGUCAGUUGAGAUAGUGAUUGGGGAUGUGGGUGAGCCUUCCACCCUUCAAGCUGCUGUAGAAGGUUGCAACAAGAUUAUCUACUGUGCCACUGCUCGGUCUACUAUCACUGGGGAUCUCUAUAGAGUUGAUCAUCAAGGGGUUUUAAACCUCACCAAAGCAUUGCAGGACUACAAUAAUAAACUGGCACAAAUUCGAGCAGGCAAAAGCAGCAAAAGCAAGCUUCUGCUUGCAAAGUUCAAAUCUGAAGAUUCAUUGAAUGGAUGGGAAAUACGUCAAGGUACUUACUUCCAGGAUGUGAUUGCUUCGAAGUACGAUGGCGGAAUGGAUGCCAAGUUUGAGUACACUGAGACUGGACAAGCUGUUUUCUCAGGCUAUGUUUUCACCAGAGGUGGGUAUGUUGAGCUGUCAAAAAAGUUUUCACUUCCUUUGGGUUGCACUCUUGACAGGAAUGAAGGUCUAGUUCUCUCUCUUGGUGGCAAUGGAAGAUCUUAUGUUGUAAUUCUUGAAGCUGGUCCUUCAGCAGAUACAACUCAAAGCAAAUUAUACUUUGCAAGAAUAAACACAAAAGUAGGAUUUUGUAGGGUCAGAGUGCCGUUUUCAUCAUUUCGUCCCGUGAAACUAGAUGAUCCACCAUUAGACCCAUUCCUUGUACAUACAUUAACUAUACGCUUUGAGCCACGAAGACAGAGGCCUGUUGAAGGACCAGCAGGAAUGAAGCAAGACCCCCGAAGUUUCAAGCUUAUAUUGGAAUAUAUAAAAGCUUUGCCUACUGGGCAAGAAACAGACUUUGUUUUAGUUUCGUGCACAGGAUUAGGAGUUGAGCCAAACCGAAGGGAGCAAGUUUUGAAAGCCAAGAGGGCUGGUGAGGAUUCAUUGAGAAGAUCGGGUCUUGGGUACACAAUAAUUCGCCCUGGUCCUCUAAAGCCAAAAUAUGUGCUGAAUCAAAGUUUGGUGCUUACAGGAGGAACCUGGUGGCCAACGUGCUCUUAUAUUUGAUCAAGGAAACAGGAUUUCUCAGGGCAUUAGUUGUGUUGAUGUGGCUGAUAUCUGCGUGAAAGCAUUGCAUGAUCCAACUGCAAGGAAUAAGAGCUUUGAUGUAUGUCAUGAAUACGUAGCUGAGGAAGGGAGGGAGCUUUAUGAGCUGGUUGCCCAUUUGCCUGACAAAGCAAAUAAUUAUUUGACUCCAGCUUUGUCUGUUUUGGAGAAAAACACUUGAUAAUUGUUUGAGGAUAACAUGUUAUCAUCCUCUGAGGAAAGGGAUCCGAUUGUAACGACAUCUAGAAAGGAGGAAACAAGAAGCAAGAAGUCUCCUAACUUGAUGAUAUCUCUUUGGAAGUCAGCAACAAAACAAUUUCUGCGUUCUUUUCUGCCCUGAUGAUGAGCGUUGUAUAGGUCAUGCUUGCUCUUUUUUUCUGUAAAUCCAUAUGUAGGCUGAUAUAGAAAAUGUGUAUGUAUGGCGGAUAGCGUAUAGUGUAUAUGGAAAGCUCCAGAUAAUGUGGAGUCUUGUCGAAUAUUUUAAUUCAUUUUUCACUGUAAUGCAAAACAUCAUCAACUGUUACACAAGUCAUAUUCAACAGUGUUUACAUUCUUUUAUGACUUGAAUUUAUUACCCCUUCCUCCUAUUCCAAGUUCUCAAUAAACCACAUGGACAGAGGAAAUUGGUAAUAAAAUGUUUAAGAAAUUGUCUUUCUUUCUCCCACUA